GAUGAACGCUGGCGGCGUGCCUAAUACAUGCAAGUCGAGCGAACGGACGAGAAGCUUGCUUCUCUGAUGUUAGCGGCGGACGGGUGAGUAGCACGUGGAUAAUCUACCUAUAAGACUGGGAUAACUUCGGGAAACCGGAGCUAAUACCGGAUAAUAUUUUGAACCGCAUGGUUCAAAAGUGAAAGACGGUCUUGCUGUCACUUAUAGAUGGAUCCGCGCUGCAUUAGCUAGUUGGUAAGGUAACGGCUUACCAAGGCAACGAUGCAUAGCCGACCUGAGAGGGUGAUCGGCCACACUGGAACUGAGACACGGUCCAGACUCCUACGGGAGGCAGCAGUAGGGAAUCUUCCGCAAUGGGCGAAAGCCUGACGGAGCAACGCCGCGUGAGUGAUGAAGGUCUUCGGAUCGUAAAACUCUGUUAUUAGGGAAGAACAUAUGUGUAAGUAACUGUGCACAUCUUGACGGUACCUAAUCAGAAAGCCACGGCUAACUACGUG
rnacentral:rRNA from 1 species